rnacentral:lncRNA from 1 species
AUAAUCUAAUGUUUUGCUUUCGUUGUAAAGCCUUUUUGAAAUCGGACAGUGUGGUUAGAUAAAGGAGAGUCUUAUCUUUAAAAUGCUGUGAAAUAGUCAUAUGUUUGAAAAAUGGAAGUUUUUGUAUUUUAGAGGAGUUUGCAUUUCGCACCACGCCCAUCAUUGGAUAAUGGAGCAGGUGUUCCACUAGCGGAACGUCUAGAUGUAAGAGGUUAAGUGUUCCCUUUAUUUUUUUGAGCAGUGUAGUUAAGUAUCAAAAGUUAAAGUAAAAAUAUUUUUAAUUUACGGAUAGCCAGGGGCACACUCCACACUCCAGUAGUGAUGACCAUGGAUGUUCUUUUGAUUAGUGCGUGAAUUGGACCAUUUUCCUGUCCUGUUAACUUCUUUGGGAUAGGGGGCGGUAUUUUGACGUCCGGAUGAAAAGUGUUCCCAAAAUAAACUGCCUGCUACUCAGGCCCAGAAGCUAGUGUCGUGUCUUUGGCUAUGCCGGAUUAAGUGAUAUGACAUGCUAACUUAUAAAAUGAUUUCUCUGUAAUUAAUAUUACCUGAUUAAGCUAAUCAUGUAAAUGUAAUUAACUAGAAAGUUGGGGCACCACGGAAGAACGUUUAUAGAGCCGUUAUCUUCCGAAUAAACUCACUUUGUAAUAUUUUACAUCGAUAGCAGUCAAUAUUAACCCUUAUCUUAUUUUCAGUCUCAUAAUGAAAGUUGUAAAUUCUUGGUUAUCUUCACGAACCCUGGCUAACAAGUUGAAUCAGCAAUACAAAAUUGGGUUUAAUUAUUUAUUUACUAAAUACCUAAACUAAUCACACAGAAUUACAAAUACACAGAAUACAAUGAUGUCAUACAGAAUUCACCCCUGGUGAACGGAACCUGUAUGAAAGCUGGUUACACAAAGGAAAGGGGGUUGGGCUUGAAUGAAAGAGCGGGAAGAUUUAGGAACACAGAAACAGCAGCUAUGCUAUCGUAAAUACAUUAUCUUAUGCAUUCUAAAUUACCGCCCAUUUGGAAAAGGAAAAUGCAAUAAAUAUUUACUCUGAGCUGCGCUUCGGUAGAUUGGUCGUAGAUGCUGGCCGGGUUGGCCAACAGACCUUCCGUACUCGGAAGAAUGUCUCUGGUGGUAAAUUGGAUACGUGGUGGUAUCUUCGUCCAUCUGUUAGACUGGUCCGUCGUCCGUCCUUUCCUAGCCCCCGUCGACAGCGGCCGCUGCUAACUCAACGGCUAGGAAGUAGCACUUCUGUAGUGAAUAAGCUCAAAGUUCAUACCAGUUCAUACCGUAGCUCACGCCGACGUUGGCUUAGUUCUGUACUUGACAUGUGUGUCCUUCUAACGUAGAGGCUGCAGACCUCACGUGCUGGAACCACCUGGUUAUCUUUUCGUCAAAGGCUUAUAUAGUGGAGAGGGGGAGGGAGGUGUUUCAUCGUUUAUAACCCCUGUCUCUUCACAGGGUUGGGCCACUGAUCAAGCAGGGCACUUUCCUUAUGAAAACCCAAUUCUCUCAUUUGGAAGCUAAAAUUACAUUUAACCUCUCUAGCCCUAACAGCUUAAUCUCCUAACAAACAAUUUCAAUAUCAAACAUUUCAAUUGCAUAACAAUUCCAUGUGACUCUGAUAACUAGAGGGUGGAUACUUUCCCAGGUACAGUUUAUGUCGUCCUGUCAUCAAUCAUAAUGUCUCAGAUGACAACUGAAAUGAAAUCCAUACUCAUUGCGUUCCAAAGCAUAUUUCCAACUGGUUUUAUUACCAAAAUAUGGUUCCUUUUCCCCAUUUGUUUGAUGUUCCCAGACUCUCUAUAUUUACAGGCUAUUCGGGUCAGAGAGGGGAAGGGAGAAAGGUAUUUAUGGGGGGGGGGUCAUAAACCUUACCCACAGGCCAACGUCAUGACACUAGGAUAUGCAUAUAAUUGGUUGAUUAUUGAUAAUGUAUGUGAGUAUAACAGAACUGAAAUGGCAGGCAAAACCCCAAGGACAAACCAUCCCCCCCCCAAAAAUUCAGCAUAUCACUGAUUUCAAUGGCUGGCACUUUUAUAAUAGGGCAAAAUCGUCCCCGAUUGCAGUUCCUAGGGUGUCCACUAGAUGUCAACAGUCUUUAGAAAGAGUUUCAGGCUGGUUUUUGGAAAAAUGAAGGAGAAGUUGUAAUUUUUCUAAGUGGCUCCCAUUUUGCUGUAGUGUUUCCAAGUGUUUCCAAGCGCAAGGCUGAGAGAGCGCAUUCUUUUUGUUUAUCUCCCGUAAAGACAAAAACGAUUCUCCGUCUUAAAUUUUAUAGUUUAUUUGCGUAUUAGGGUACCUAAGGUUUGAUUAUAAACAUUGAUUGACUUGUUUGGAUAAGUUUCUUGGUAAUGUUUGGGAUUCAUUUUGUAUGCAUUUUGAAGGAGGGAAACCAGGUGGAUUAUUGACUGAGUUUUUAUGGAUAUAAAGAAGGACUUUAUCGAACAAAAGGACCAUUUGUAAUGUAACUGGGACCUUUUGGAGUGCCAACAGAAGAAGAUCUUCAAAGAGCUUCUGGACAUCAGAACAGUGAUUACUCACCUCAAACAGGACAAGGAUUUUUUCUUUAAUGAGUCAGACGCAAAGGAAAUACUGCUCCUCCCAGACCAGGCCCAAACCCCGUCAUCCGUAUGAAGUGGAGACGGUGUUGGCGAGACUGAGUGGGCAAUCCGAUGAGUGGGAAAUCCGCCUUUACAGUCGAUUCUACUGGCGAACGUGCAAUCGCUGAAGAAUAAACUGGAUGAGCUCCGUUAGAGACUAUCCUAUCAAUGGGAGAUUAAAGAGCAUAUUCAAGUAAGAAGCAAUAGGAUUUGAAGCAAUAGCCAACAACUAUUUUAGCACCAUUUUGCGCUGCUCUGAAGCAAGCAUGGGGACUGGUCUUGAUAAAUCUAUGAGAUUUUUAUUUUCACUUAAUCUCCGUUUGGGUAUUGUUUAGACAAGAAUUAGAAAUUAAAGUGCAGAAAUGCUAUGCUAUGAAAUGCUCUAGUGUAACCUUUAUUUAACUAGGCAAGUCAUUUAGGAGCAAAUUCUUAUUUCCAAGGACAGCCUACUCCUUCCUCAUGCUCUGCGGGGAUUCUGUAGCUAAAUAGCCCAGGAGUACAGCCAACCGUCACGUUGUACAGCACCAUAUUUUCCAUUCCAUCCUCUUGGAAUAGAAAAAACAUAAUAUUAAUCAUAUUAAUUAAGCAAUUACCAGUCAAAAGUUUGGACAUACCUACUCAUUCCAGGAUUUUUCUUUAUUUUUUACUAUUUUAUACAUUGAAGAAUAAUAGUGAAGACAUCAUAAUCAUUUUGUUUGUGAUUGUUUCUGUUGAAUUGUGUCUUUGUUUUGUAUGUUUGAAAUGUUCUUGUCUGUAUGCCUAAAACUGUACAUGUCAACAUGUUUACACAGGGCACAGCCGUAAAAGAGAUCCAGGUCUCAGUCUGUUUUCCCUGUUAAAAUAAAGAUAAAAAAAAAAUAAAAAACAUAACUAUGAAAUAUCACCGGUCUCCCGCAUGCCCCGAAUUCUGUAGUACAGACAUUGCAUGCUCUCCCUUAAGUAAGGAAUUAGGCACUUUCCCAUGUUUACUACAAUAUGUAUUGUAGACUGCACAGUAGCCUAAUAAAUAAAUAAACACAUUUUGUUAAUAAAAUAAUGAUAAAAAUACUCUUUCAAAAUGCAGAUGUUGAUUUAGUUAUGGAUCCAUAACGGAUUACUAUGGGAAUAAAUAUCACUGAUUUACAGAAAUAUUGGAACAAAGUUGUCUAAUGAAGGCAAACAAUUUAGAAUCCUCCAAUCCUGUAGCCUACUCCCGACCAUCAUGUUGUACAGCGCCAUAUUUUCAAUUCCAUCCUAACGGAAACCCUGAGUUAUUUUUCUGAAUAGAAACACCAUAAUUUUAAUCAAAUUAAUUUAUCCAAAUUUCUUAACCUGUUAGGGCUAGGGGGCAGCAUUUGCACGUCUGGAUAAAAA